CGGUACGUACUGGCAUCGUCGGUUUCUCCCUUCUGACGAACCAUGAUGUCAUUUAUUUGGUGUUGUGGGGAAUCAGGACUGUUACUUUGAAAAAAUUAGAGUGUUUAAAGCAGGCUCACGCUUGAAUACAUUAGCAUGGAAUAAUGAAAUAGGAUGUUUGAUUCUAUUUUGUUGGUUUCUAGGAUCGACGUAAUGAUUAAUAGGGAUAGUUGGGGGCAUUAGUAUUCAAUUGUCAGAGGUGAAAUUCUUGGAUUCAUUGAAGACUAACUACUGCGAAAGCAUUUGCCAAGGAUGUUUUCAUUAAUCAAGAACGAAAGUUAGGGGAUCGAAGACGAUCAGAUACCGUCGUAGUCUUAACCAUAAACUAUGCCGACUAGGGAUCGGAUGAUGUUAAUUUUUUAAUGACUCAUUCGGC
rnacentral:rRNA from 1 species